AACGAACGCUGGCGGCAGGCUUAACACAUGCAAGUCGAACGCCCCGCAAGGGGAGUGGCAGACGGGUGAGUAACGCGUGGGAACGUACCUUUCAGUUCGGAAUAACUCAGGGAAACUUGUGCUAAUACCGGAUACGCCCGCCAGGGGAAAGAUUUAUCGCUGAAAGAUCGGCCCGCGUUGGAUUAGCUAGUUGGUGGGGUAAAGGCCUACCAAGGCGACGAUCCAUAGCUGGUCUGAGAGGAUGAUCAGCCACACUUGGACUGAGACACGGCCCAGACUCCUACGGGAGGCAGCAGUGGGGAAUAUUGGACAAUGGGCGAAAGCCUGAUCCAGCCAUGCCGCGUGUGUGAUGAAGGCCUUAGGGUUGUAAAGCACUUUCACCGAUGAAGAUAAUGACGGUAGUCGGAGAAGAAGCCCCGGCUAACUUCGUGCCAGCAGCCGCAGUAA
rnacentral:rRNA from 1 species